rnacentral:rRNA from 1 species
AGAGUUUGAUCAUGGCUCAGAUUGAACGCUGGCGGUAGGCUUAACACAUGCAAGUCGUGCGAGAAAGUAUCUUCGGAUAUGAGUAGAGCGGCGGACGGGUGAGUAACGCGUAGGAAUCUACCUAGUAGAAGGGGAUAGCCCGGGGAAACUCGGAUUAAUACCGUAUACCUCCUUUGGGAGAAAGAGGGCCUCUCUUGAUGCUCUCGCUAUUAGAUGAGCCUGCGUAAGAUUAGCUUGUUGGUAAGGUAAUGGCUUACCAAGGCUACGAUCUUUAGCUGGUCUGAGAGGACGAUCAGCCACAUUGGGACUGAGACACGGCCCAGACUCCUACGGGAGGCAGCAGUGGGGAAUAUUGGACAAUGGGCGCAAGCCUGAUCCAGCCAUACCGCGUGUGUGAAGAAGGCCUUCGGGUUGUAAAGCACUUUAAGCAGGGAGAAAAAGCUAUAAGUUAAUACCUUAUAGCCGUGAUGUUACCUGCAGAAUAAGCACCGGCUAAUUCCGUGCCAGCAGCCGCGGUAAUACGGAAGGUGCAAGCGUUAAUCGGAAUUACUGGGCGUAAAGCGCGCGUAGGUGGUUUGUUAAGUUGGAUGUGAAAGCCCUGGGCUCAACCUAGGAACUGCAUCCAAAACUAACUCACUAGAGUACGAUAGAGGGAGGUAGAAUUCAUAGUGUAGCGGUGGAAUGCGUAGAUAUUAUGAAGAAUACCAGUGGCGAAGGCGGCCUCCUGGAUCUGUACUGACACUGAGGUGCGAAAGCGUGGGUAGCGAACAGGAUUAGAUACCCUGGUAGUCCACGCCGUAAACGAUGACAACUAGCUGUUGGGAGACAAUGUCUUUCAGUGGCGCAGCUAACGUUUUAAGUUGUCCGCCUGGGGAGUACGGCCGCAAGG